GCCGAUGUUGGGCAGUGGUAGCCCGCGGGGUUGCUAACUCCGUUUCCUCACGGAUAUGCAGGUUCGAUUCCUGCCAUCGGCG
rnacentral:tRNA from 1 species